GACGAACGCUGGCGGCGUGCUUAACACAUGCAAGUCGAACGAAGUGGCGAACGGGUGAGUAACGCGUAAUCAACCUGCCCCUCAGAGGGGGACAACAGGUGGAAACGACUGCUAAUACCGCAUACUGAAGGAGGGGUUUGCGUCGGAUUAGCUAGUUGGAGGGGUAACGGCUCACGAAGGCGAGGAUCAGUAGCCGGGCGGAGAGGAUGAACGGCCACGUUGGGACGGAGACACUGCCCAGACUCCUACGGGAGGCAGCGGUGGGGAGUCGUCCGCAAUGGACGAAAGUCGGACGGAGCAACGCCGCGUGAGUGAUGACGGCCUUCGGGUUGUAAAGCUCUGUUAAUCGGGACGCGGUACCGGAAUAGAAAGCCACGGCUAACUACGUGCCAGCAGCCGCGGUAAUUC
rnacentral:rRNA from 1 species